rnacentral:lncRNA from 1 species
AAACUCAAGCGUAGCGUUUCCCCAUCGUCGGCCGUAUAAAACGCAAAGCCCUCUCCCUCUCCUUCGGUACCUAUGCUCUAGAGAAUUCACGUGCGUGUUGGGUGGAGGAAGUAUCAAGGGCUACCCCUAUGGCCGUAUCAUCGCCAUAGGGCCGUGUAUCGCCAUUGGCGGGCUCCUCUAUGGCUAGAUCUCCGGUGAGUGUUCCCGUCAUCUGGUUCGUACCAAUCUCCGAACCGUAUAGUAUUAGCCGGUAGCAAGUUUCAGGCUCGGGAUCGUGGGUUGGGCGGCUUAGCAAUGGUGCCACCGCGCCAGACUGCAGGCCACCGUCCAACCACCGGGUGUGGGGAUGACCCACCGUGGGCCAUUGAUCGUGUAGCGAUCGACCUUGAUUAGAAGGGAGGAUAAUGCUUUGGCCAGGGCCUUUGUGGACGUAGAUCUAAGAUGGACGAUUGGGAUUAGAGUCGGUAACAUCCUGCGUCGGUCUAACCUUGACCGUAUGAUGCGGAUCAAACGACCUAGACUUCUUAUCGGUUUGGAGUGAGACGGACCUAACCUAGGCCAUCGGCUUUUGAUCGGACGACCGAGACUUAAAGUUACCCCUUCGCUUCAACAUAUUUGUUAAAGAGCUCCUCUUCUUUUGGUAAAUCAACCCGUCGUUUGUACUAAGUAUAGAAACAUUACAAAUGGGUUCGAGUUUUUCUGAUUUACUCCCUGGAUUCCUUAAAAGCACAAACCGUGGUCCUUAAGCUUUAAUAACUCAUAUAAAUAAAUCUAGAAAAUGGUUUUUAGUAGAAGGAUAAAUCCAUGAACUUGUAUAAUUCAUAUCUCAUAUGUUUUAAACCCGAUUUAACACAUUCCAGUUGCGUUAGCUUCAUAAAAAUAUUUUCUACGCAAUAGCAACAUCGUGUAUACCAUAUUCCAUAUAUUUACAAUUAGGUAAGUGUUCAAUCUUUAUUCAGUAGAUUAACUCUACUAAUCUAGGUUAAUCUCUCUUUAAUUAUAAUCUGAGUAAAAUGUAAUCCCUAAUCAAGUUAUAAUCUAGAUUAAAGUUGGAUUAACUAUAUUUUCUCAUAUACUGUAUAUUAACUAAUUUAUAUUGUAGUAGAUCUUCGAAGAAUCAUAUAUUUCUAACUGUAACUUCGAUAUUAGUGGUGCUCGAACCCACGGUCUUGUAACAUCGCGUAGAAUAUUAUUAUGCAAUUUCUGAUUAUGUUUGGUGUGAUGUUAAUUUUGCCUAUACCAUGUUUGCUUGUAUUGCUACGACUAGCAACAAGGUUACAAGUCACUUGAAGAAUAAGUAGGUACCUGGAAUCUCGAGUCACAUGCAAGUUGUGCCCUUGAUCACUCCUUUUUACCUAAUAAUGUUCCUAUUAAUCACUGUGACAUGCUUAGGUUAAUUUGAUGGGACCUAUUUGGAUUUCCUGGUAUUGUUUAUCCCAUACCUUGUUUACCACUGAACUUUUGGGUAGUUUUGCUAUUGCUCUACCAGGUUUUGGGAAUUAAUAUUACAUUAUGAUCAUGUUCCAGUUAUACUGUUGUUUUAACUAUUAUUCAUGACAAGAUCAUUGUGUUAAUUGAAACAUGGAGCUUAACUUGAGUAAAUAGUGCUACCACAAGGGUGGAAUGGGACGCCCUUGGCCAAGUAAUUAGGAAAGCUAGGGAGAAAUUACCUUACCCGAAAGGGCAAGCGGGGAGGCGUCACUGCUAGAGUAUAGGGAGGUCCUCGGGUCGAACUGUCUGUAAAGCUUUUCAGGCGAGGGAUUCCUAUGCUUCCUUCUUCCUGAAUCCGUAGCGGGUUUUUUCGAUCUAGUGGAACUUUGGAAAGGCCUCGUAGUGCUACCCUGCCUCGCUUCCUUGGUAGAGGUGUAUGGGGUCCGAUCAACCUCGUGGCAAAUGGGUAACAUGACUUGUGUGUAAAGAUGUUCAACCUCUACAGAGUGUAAAACUGGUAUAUCAGCCAUGCUCACGGUCAAGAGCGACUCAGAACUCUCGCAUGAUUAAUUUAUGAAACUAAACUUAAUUUGUCAUAUGCAUUGCAUCACGUGUGUUAUUAUCAAUUGUGAUCUCUUAUUUAAUUGGGUUGGUAUCUACUUAUACUUAGCAACUGCUAAUAAAAUUUUUACCAACUUUAAAAGCAAUGCUCAGCUUUAACCAUCCUUUUUGGUGAGCCUUACACUUCACAUGAGCUCUCACCUUUGGUGAGUGCAUACACAUUAUUCCCCACAACUUGUUGAGCGAUGAAUGUAUGUGAGCUCACCCUUGCUUUACUCACAUCCCCCAUGGUCAAAAACAUGUACCACAGGAUGAGGCGCAUGAAGGAUGCUGUGAUGAGUUCGUGAGUGGUCUAGGCCGUCGUCUGCCAGUUAACUUUGGGUUGCUG